rnacentral:rRNA from 1 species
GAUGAACGCUGGCGGCGUGCUUAACACAUGCAAGUCGAACGAUGAAGCCCAGCUUGCUGGGUGGAUUAGUGGCGAACGGGUGAGUAACACGUGAGUAACCUGCCCUUAACUCUGGGAUAAGCCUGGGAAACUGGGUCUAAUACCGGAUAGGAGCGCCUACCGCAUGGUGGGUGUUGGAAAGAUUUAUCGGUUUUGGAUGGACUCGCGGCCUAUCAGCUUGUUGGUGAGGUAAUGGCUCACCAAGGCGACGACGGGUAGCCGGCCUGAGAGGGUGACCGGCCACACUGGGACUGAGACACGGCCCAGACUCCUACGGGAGGCAGCAGUGGGGAAUAUUGCACAAUGGGCGAAAGCCUGAUGCAGCGACGCCGCGUGAGGGAUGACGGCCCUCGGGUUGUAAACCUCUUUCAGUAGGGAAGAAGCGAAAGUGACGGUACCUGCAGAAGAAGCACCGGCUAACUACGU